rnacentral:rRNA from 1 species
GCGUAGGCGGACUGUUUAGUCAGAGGUGAAAGCCCAGGGCUCAACCUUGGAAUUGCCUUUGAUACUGGCAGUCUUGAGUACGGAAGAGGUAUGUGGAACUCCGAGUGUAGAGGUGAAAUUCGUAGAUAUUCGGAAGAACACCAGUGGCGAAGGCGACAUACUGGUCCGUUACUGACGCUGAGGCUCGAAAGCGUGGGGAGCAAACA